rnacentral:rRNA from 1 species
GGCUGAAAUUCGCCUUCCAUGAAGCCGGAAUUGCUAGUAAUGGCAGGUCAGCAUACUGCCGUGAAUACGUUCCCGGGCCUUGUACACACCGCCCGUCACACCAUGAGAGUUGGGAAUACCCGAAGCCUGUGAGCCAACCGUAAGGGGGCAGCAGUCGAAGGUAGAAUCAAUGAUUGGGGUGAAGUCGUAACAAGGUAAC